rnacentral:rRNA from 1 species
UACGUAGGCAGCGAGCGUUGUCCGGAUUUACUGGGCGUAAAGGGCGCGUAGGCGGCGUGACAAGUCACUUGUGAAAUCUCCGGGCUUAACUCGGAACGGUCAAGUGAUACUGUCGGACUAGAGUACAGAAGGGGCAACUGGAAUUCUCGGUGUAGCGGUGAAAUGCGUAGAUAUCGAGAGGAACACCUGCGGCGAAAGCGGGUUGCUGGGCUGAUACUGACGCUGAGGCGCGAAAGCCCAGGGGAGCGAACGGGG